rnacentral:rRNA from 1 species
CCUACCGGAGGCAGCAGUGGGGAAUCUUGGCAAGGGGGCAACCCGAAUCCAGCCCAGCCCCGGAAGCAGAAGGCUCUCCGGCGUAAAGUCUUAAGCCGGGAGGAAAUAAACGCUUAACACCCGGAAAGACGGUACAACAGAGAAGCACAGCUACUCG